GCCCCUAGACCCCUAUAAGCCUUUGUGCUUUUGAAAUUCGCUCUCUCUCCAGCAUCUCACCGCUGCGUCGGUGCAGAAGCCCAUUACUCCAGUCAAAUCACGAGGAACACAUCAGACCAAUUGAGGACCAUUCUACCAAAUACCUAACUGGGACCUCUCAAAACUGUCAAAGUCAUGAAAAAUAAGGAAAGACUGGGAAACGGUAACAGACAAGAGGAGGCUAAGGAGGCAUGACGACAAAAUGCUAUAUGAUGUUCUGGAUUGGAUCCAGGAAAGAAAAAGGACUUUAAAGAAAAAACGGUGAAGUCUGAAGAAAGUCUGGAGUUUAAUAGUAAUGUACUGAUGUCUUCUUGAUUUUGACAAAUGGGCCAUGGUAAUGGGAGAUGAUAACAGUACGAGAAACAACCUGAGUGAGGGGUAUGUGGGAACUCUAUCUUUGUGGCUUUUUU